GAAUAUGCUCAAUGUAAUGAUAUACACAAUUUCUUUGGAAACCUUUUUUCAAAUGCGUUUCGUGGCUGACGUGGUUAUGGUAUAGAAGACAGAGUGACCAUUUUUUGUGACCUUGAACAAUAAGUAUGGUUUAUUUUCAAUAACUUAAUCCUACCUUCCAGCCUUUUCCAGCAAGCUAGAGCUAGAGCUAGAGAAAAAUCAUUCCAUUUUUAUAGGAUUUCACCACAUAAUAACGGUUUUAUACGUUCAUGCAUUCAUUGGAAACAUCGACCUAGAAUUUCGACUGGAUAGGUAAACUGGCAGGGAAAACGAUACAAGUUUAGAUAUUUUUUUAAUUGCAGAGCAAGUUGGAUUUGUCUUUUUGGUUGAUAGCCCAUCAAUGUCAGCUCAUGGUUUUGCCCUUCUACAUGUUCGAUUCCAUUAAUUUCGGUACCACAAAUGGUGACGGCAAUUAUGAACCUAAAAUUAAAAGAAAGUUAGAGAAAAGAAUUAAGUCCUGCAGAAAAACGCUAGCCAACAACAAUGGUGAAAAUUUUUGACGUUUUGAUAGAAUUGAACUGAAAUUUUUUUGGCUACUCUGAUGUGCUCUGAUGCUGCAAGGGCUGUCGGCAAGAAUUGUCAAAAUUGAAUCAUCCCUCAGCAUAGCGUAAAAAGCUGGAUACGCUCACUUAUAAUUCUGGAGUUUGGCCGAUUCGAAUUCGCAACGGUCAUCGUGUCCACCACUCGAGCUCACAAAUGAACGAAACAUCUCAACUUCAAAUCUAUUUAAGGCGCAAUUAGCAUGUUCAAGGUAAGGUAUAAUUCUUUAAAUCGUUUCAUGAUCCUUAAUUGUUUUUGGUAUUUUGAUUUAGCGCUGUUUGAAGUUGGCAAAAAAGGAUAUCGUUCCUUCCCGUGAACGGAAAAAGAGAAAACGUUGCGAUCUCCGGAUUCUGUGUCUCAAGCCUCCACUAGAGCUGUUCCGCCAGAAUUGUUCUUGCCCGUGAAAGGUGAAAAAUGUUGUAACUUAUUUGCUGGAAGCUGAACCACUUCUAGAGCCAAAGGAGAAAGCAGGUUCCGGUUGUAUCGGGCGAAGAAUGCUCUUACGGGAAGGAAACCCGGACCGGGUCAAUUAGUUGGUGGAGAAGAAGUAGGAGGCGGUGAAUGAGGAAGAGGAGAAGGAGCACAUU